rnacentral:rRNA from 1 species
UCCGGUGGCAAUAGCGGAGGGGCCACACCCGUUCCCAUCUCGAACACGGAAGUUAAGCCCUCCAGCGCCGAUGGUACUGCUCGGGCGACCGUGUGGGAGAGUAGGACGCCGCCGGGA